UCGGGAAUUUUGGGCAAUGGGCGAAAGCCUGACCCAGCAACGCCGCGUGAAGGAUGAAAUCCCUCGGGAUGUAAACUUCGCAAGAACGGGAAGAAUAAGUUGGUGCGAACAUCACCAGUGAUGACGGUACCGUUUGUAAGCUCCGGCUAACUCCGUGCCAGCAGCCGCGGUAAUACGGGGGGAGCAAGCGUUGUUCGGAUUUACUGGGCGUAAAGGGCGCGUAGGCGGCCACCGGAAGUCGGUUGUGAAAUCUCCGGGCUUAACCCGGAAAGGUCAACCGAUACUGCGGGGCUAGAGUGCAGAAGGGGCAACUGGAAUUCUCGGUGUAGCGGUGAAAUGCGUAGAUAUCGAGAGGAACACCUGCGGCGAAGGCGGGUUGCUGGGCUGACACUGACGCUGAUGCGCGAAAGCUAGGGGAGCAAAC
rnacentral:rRNA from 1 species